GAAAAUUUGAGAGAGAAUCGGCAGGAGAGAAAGGGAGAAAGAAGAAGAAGAAGAGAAAAGAGGGGAAAAUAAGGGAAAAAGAAAAGGAGUUGGAGGAAAUAAGUAAAAAGGGAUAAUCCUAAUAUUCUACCGGCGGGAGGUCAGUAGGAUUUUCUUCGAUAUCAGCUUUGAGUUUUGUUGCUUUCGAGUCAGGCUUAUAGCUUGAUAGCAGGUCAUUUUGUUGGACCUUCAGAACCUGCUUUUUGGUUGUACUUUGUACCUUUCCUUUAUGUCUAGUUAGUGCUCCAAAACUCUGAACUUUUAUAAACUUUUGUAUUAAGACAAUUCAAUUAUAUUAUGAAAUUGAUUUUGUUAUUAAUGCUGUGUUGAACUCUGAUUGAGUUAGGAUAAGUUUGUGUGUAAGUUUGGGUUCGUAUAGGUAUGGAACCUUGGAGGGGAACCUUGCCUAUGUGCCGGUCAUGGAUCCGGGACUCGGGUCGUGACAGUUUGGGUGGCAAACAGGGAGAGCCCUUUAAACAACCCUGCUUCAUCGAAGCUUGAAUUGUCACCGGAUGGCAUUCUUGUCCUACUGACAAAUUUCACCAAAACAGUUUGGUCAACAGCUCUUGCAUCUUCAAUGCCGAAUAACAGUACAGCACAAGCAGCACUUCUUGAUAAUGGAAACUUUGUCAUUAAAGAUGGCUCAAACCCAUCCGCUAUUUACUGGCAGAGUUUUGACAAUCCAACUGAUACAUUGCUACCUGGUGGAAAGCUUGGAAUCAACAAGCACACUGGGAAAGUGCAGAGGCUUAUUUCCUGGUAAAACUCAGAAGAUCCUGCACCAGGUAUGUUCUCGAUUGCGAUGGACCCGGAUGGCAGUAGUCAGUUUUUUAUAGAGUGGAACAGGUCACAGAUGUAUUGGAGCAGUGGGGUUUGGAAUGGACAAGGAUUUUCCAUGGUUCCUGAGAUGAAUUUGAACUAUUAUUUCAAUUAUAGUUAUAUAUCGAAUGAAAAUGAAAGCUAUUUCACCUUUUCUGUGUACAAUGCUGAAAUACUUUCAAGAUACGUGAUUGAUGUUUCAGGACAAAUCAAACAAUUAAAUUGGUUAGCAGGUGUUCGGAAUUGGUCAGAAUUCUGGUCCCAGCCGAGAGACCAAGCUGGUGUUUAUGGUUUAUGCGGGGUUUUUGGAGUCUUUCAUGGAAAUUCAUCGAGCUCUUGUGAAUGCUUGAAAGGUUUUGAACCAUUAGUACAAAAUGAUUGGUCAAGCGGUUGUGUUAGGAAAUCUCCUUUGCAGUGUCAAAAUAAGAAAAGUAUUGGGAAAAAAGAUGGGUUCCUGAAGAUGUCGAUUCUGACAUUACCAGAAAAUUCAAAAGCAUAUCAAAAAGAGAUCUUAUAAACUUAAAACAGUCAGAGAUUGCUGCUGGGAGGGCUGGAGCAGAAAUUUACAUCAGACUUGCUGCUUGUGAGCUUGAACCUCAGAUUGGUAGUGGCAGUAUCCGAACAGGCAAUAUCAAAGGGAAAAUACGGACAACCUUGGCUGUGGCUGUUCCAGCAACUCUGAUUACCUUAGGCCUCUUCAUAUACUUCAGUUGUCUGCGCAAGGGAAAGCUCAUACACAAAGCGAAGGAACGUACAGGUCAUAAUUUAUUGCGCUUUGAUUUCGAUGCCGAUCCUAACUCAACUACCAAUGAAUCUAGCUCUGUUGACAAUCGGAAGAAAAGAUGGAGUAAAAAUAUAGAAUUUCCAUUAUUCAGUUAUGAGAGCGUAUCAGUUGCAACUGGACAGUUCUCAGAUAAGCUUGGAGAGGGAGGAUUCGGACCUGUUUAUAAGGGCAAAUUACCCAAGGGACUGGAAAUAGCAGUGAAGAGGCUUUCAGAAAGAUCUGGGCAGGGGCUUCAGGAGUUCAGAAUGUAAAGCCACUUUAAUUAGUUAGCAUAAUUGAUGAGAUUUGAGUGGGAGAUGAGUUGUAAUUGGUGGAGUGUGAGUGGAGGAUGAGUAGGUAUAAUUGGUGGAGUAUGAGUGGAGGAUGAGUUGUUAGGCAUAUAUUCCUCCUAAAUUUAUGACCAUUAUACCCUCACUCUUGCUUAUAAAUAGGCAAUGCAUUUAAGCCUAUAUGCACACCAAGAUAGAGAAGAGAAGAGGAGAGUGAAGAGAGAGUAAUCCCACAAAAUUGUGAGGUAUUUGUGAGAGAGUAAGUGAGGUGUUUUGUCCUAAUAAUAGAGAGAUUCUUAGUUGUUCUCCUAUUAUUUGAGAGAGGUUGUAAUUCUCACAUUACUUAGUAAAAUCCUUCUAUACUUGCCUGUGGACGUAGCCCAAUUGGGUGAACCACGUAAAUUCUUGUGUGUCUCAUU